rnacentral:rRNA from 1 species
CGCGGCCUAUCAGCUUGUUGGUGGGGUAACGGCCCACCAAGGCUUCGACGGGUAGCUGGUCUGAGAGGACGAUCAGCCACACUGGGACUGAGACACGGCCCAGACUCCUACGGGAGGCAGCAGUGGGGAAUCUUGCACAAUGGGCGAAAGCCUGAUGCAGCAACGCCGCGUGGGGGAUGAAGGCUCUCGGGUUGUAAACCCCUUUCAGCAGGGACGAAUCUGACGGUACCUGCAGAAGAAGCCCCGGCCAACUACGUGCCAGCAGCCGCGGUAACACGUAGGGGGCAAGCGUUGUCCGGAUUUAUUGGGCGUAAAGAGCUCGUAGGCGGUUCGAUAAGUCGGGUGUGAAACCUCCAGGCUCAACCUGGAGACGCCACCCGAUACUGUUGUGACUGGAGUCCGGUAGGGGAGCGUGGAAUUCCUGGUGUAGCGGUGAAAUGCGCAGAUAUCAGGAGGAACACCAGCGGCGAAGGCGGCGCUCUGGGCCGGUACUGACGCUGAGGAGCGAAAGCGUGGGUAGCAAACAGGAUUAGAUACCCUGGUAGUCCACGCCGUAAACGUUGGGCACUAGGUGUGGGUCACAACCAACGUGAUCUGUGCCGUAGCUAACGCAUUAAGUGCCCCGCC